rnacentral:lncRNA from 10 species
CACCCAGGCUAUAGUGCAAUGGCGUGAUCUCAGCUCACUGCAACCUCCACCUCCCUGAUUCAAGUGAUUCUCCUGCCUCAGCCUUCUGAGUAGCUGGGAUUAUAGGCGCGCGCCACCACGCCCAGCUAAUUUUUGUAUUUUAAUAGAGACGGGGUUUCACCAUAUUGGCCAGGCUGGUCUCCGAGCUCCUGACCUCAGGUGAUCCGCCUGCUUUGGCCUCUCAAAGUGCUGGGAUUAUAGGCGUGAGCCACCGCGUCCGGCCCAGGGACACGAUUAUUAAAGGGCAGAGAGCCAGACUGGGGAGGCAGGUGUGCUCCAUUCCCAAGCCCAUGCUUGCCCUGGCUCUGCCGGGAAGACAGUAGGUGCUUUGCUUCCUGAGAAAGGUCAGGAAGAGGCGUGGCUCCUCCAGCUGUACAGACGACCAGGCCAGAUCCACAUGGCCCCGUUUGGUGCUUGGAUGUCUGGUAAACUGCCUGCCAAGGAGGAACGCAGAGGUGAAGCACCUGGUCCGACCCAUCAUUUCACGCUGAAUCGCCUGUUGACCCAUCUCACUUGACUGACUCCUGGGAUGGAGGCCUGGCUCCCUCCAAGGCAGCCCCUUGCGUUGGAAGAAAGGCAAUGGUGUGAAGCCUGUCUGGUUGUACCCUCCAGCUGCGGGUCCUUACUCCAGCUCUCAGAACCAGAAGGAAUCUGUCUAAUUGCUCAUCUACUGGAGAGCCCUUGAGGAUCAGCCACCUCUGAGGCCAAGACCUGACCCAGAUUCCGGUACCCUUCACAGAAGGAGCCACCACAGUGGAGAAGGAAGCUCAUGGCUUUUGGGCAAGAGCCUCUUUGAAAAGGAGGAAGAGCUCGCAAAGGGUGACGGCAGAGAGAUGCCCAGAAUCUUGCAGGAGGAAGGAGAAUGCAGGUGAGACUAAAGAGCUACAAAGUGAGUGUUCUGGACACUGUGAGAAUCUACAACUGGAGAAGCCAACAUUGCCUGUGGACUGAGAGCCACAUCCCAGAAAGUGAUGUUCAAAUGUCCAGUGGUCUCAGGCAAAGGCCCAGGCAAUGGAAGCUUCCCAUGGGGCCCUCUACCUCUUCACUGCUCCAGGUGGGCCCAGGCUCAUCAGACCACAGGCCCCCCAUCGCCUUCUCAGGGGCUCCCCCAUGCUAGCCGGGAAAUCAAGGUCAACACAGGCUCCACACUCCCCUGAGUCCUGCACCUACCCCAGGCUUGCUGAGGGCCUCCAGAGGACAGCUUCUGUCCCUCCUACCACAGGUUGGAUCUACAGCCUGACCUGGCCAUUCCUCCAGUGUUUGGAGAAUCAUUGCCUAGCCUUCAUUCAGGAGCCAGAUUGCCUGGGCUAGAAUCCCAGCUCCACCAUUCACCAGCUGUGUAAACUCCCUGGGCCUCAGUUUUCUCACCUGUAAAAUGGGAUUCAUUGGACUGUUAUGGAUUAAAUGAGUUGACGUUUAUAAAGAACUUAGAAGAACACCUUAUUUAUUUGUUAUGUAUAAAAUGAAAUUCCAUCCUGCCUAAUAAAUAUCGGGAACAGCUCUGGGUGGAGAGGUGAUGUGCCAGGGAGGGGUCAUCUCAAGUCUAAGAGAUAGAGGGUGACCCAUCUGGUAGCAGACAGCAGCGGAAGCUGCUUGCCUGGCCUCUCUGGGUUUGAGGGCAGGGAUGUCUCUUCUAGCUUGAACACAGCCUACACUCCAGUUCUGUGACUUCAGGUGGGUUUGGCAUCAAAAGCCUUCAGGGCUCCUCUUAUGUGAUCAUGAGUUUCCUGUUGAGAUCCUUCUGGCUGGAACAAGCUUCUUGAUCCCCCAGAAGUGCCCAGUACUUUUGUCACCUGUGUCUGUGCCUUUGCUUGGGGAUGCUGGGACUACAGAGCAAUAGAUUUUCUCUCUGUCUCACCUUCUGUUUUCUUCUUUGUUCUUCUCCAUCUCAAAAAGGAAGGAGCAAAAUGCCUCUGCUCAGGGGUAGAUUUUUCUGUCCAAGCUGAAUCAGGUUACCUCCCAAUUAUUUGUUAAUGGGAAACAGCCAGUCCUUCCAUCUGGGGGACACACAAUUGUGUAAUAUAUGCCAUCCCAGUUGAUCCUCAAUAACCUGUACAGCAGGCAGAGCUUGGCCUAUGCCACAGAUGCAGAAACUGAGGCUCAAAGGGCCAAGAGAACUUGUGCUCGGCCAGAAAACCUGUUGUAAAGAAUCACCAUCAAUUCUAUGACCUGUUACAUGUGCACAGUCUUUGUAAUUUACAAAGCAUCUUCACAGCCAGUUUCCUAAGGGAGCAUCACAAAACCCCUGCAGAGUAAAACAGGGCAGCUAUUAUUAUUCGUGAUUUACAGAUGGGAAAACAAGGGCUUGGAAGAUCAGAGAUAUUCACGUUGUUCCAUGGCUAACGUUGUUCCAUGGUUCAGUUAAAUUCAGCAAGCAUUUAUUGAGCACCUACUGUAUGUCAGCCCCUGUCCUAGGUCCUGGGGAACUAAAGAGAAUGAGAAAUGGCCCCCCGCUCUUGAGGAGCUAAUUUUUGAGACAAUGUGAUAGAUGCCUUCAGGAUGGGUGAUCACAGGGCUCUGAGGCAGCUCACAGAGAAGCAGGUAUUAGGGAGGCUUCUUGGAAAAGCUGACAUCUGAGCUGAGUCUUAAAGGAUGAAUAGGAAUUGACCAGGUAAGUAAAGGUGAGACAGACAUUUGGAGCUAAGAGACAGGGCUAGGGCUAAGCACAGAGUACGGGUCCAGGUCGUGUGUGCAAAAGCCACAGGUAGUUGGUUCUUACAGAAUAGACACUUUGAAGCCACAUCUCCUGCUACGGCUUGAUCCACUGUAACAAGCAGGAGAAUGACCUCUAUGUAUGUGCAUGCACGUGUGUGUGUGUGUGUGUGAGAGAGAGAGAGAGAGAGAGAGAAAGAGAGAGUAUGUGUGUGUGUGCGCGCGCGCGUGUGUGUGUGUGCAGGCAGGCAGUGGUGGCAGCAUCAUACAUUUAG